rnacentral:antisense_RNA from 1 species
AGACUCCAGACUCAGAAAAAGAGUUGGAACUGUGGUGUGGUUUUAGAGUGCAGGAGGAGUGAGAAGGGAUUGGGAACAGAUCUGGACCUGACAAUGAAAAUGCCUCUGGGCACCUCCCUGCUCUGUUUCCCCAAAGACUCAGUGGCCUUGCUUGCUUCAUAUACACAGAUAUUUAACUCUAUGUGGCAACUGGACAUACAGCAUUCUGAGGAAAAGCAAAAUUAAAAUUCCCAGAAAUCAAACAGAAAGUAAAAUCUUAAGAAAAGGACCAAAAUUAAUAAAAAAUUUAAAAUGAAUUUUAAAUUCAUUAAAGAAUUUAAAACUUUGGUCGCAACGAAGAGAUGGCGAUAUGACAGAACUCUUAGGUUAACAAUGUAAACCUUCACUUUCAAUUUCUCAUACUUUUUGUCUCCAGCUGAACAAAAUAAAAGCCCAGGAGGAAGCGCA